rnacentral:rRNA from 1 species
GAAUUCGCCCUUAGAGUUUGAUCCUGGCUCAGGACGAACGCUGGCGGCGCGCCUAACACAUGCAAGUCGAACGAGCGAGAGAGAGCUUGCUUUCUCGAGCGAGUGGCGAACGGGUGAGUAACGCGUGAGGAACCUGCCUCAAAGAGGGGGACAACAGUUGGAAACGACUGCUAAUACCGCAUAAGCCCACGGUGCCGCAUGGCACAGAGGGAAAAGGAGUAAUCCGCUUUGAGAUGGCCUCGCGUCCGAUUAGCUAGUUGGUGAGGUAAUGGCCCACCAAGGCGACGAUCGGUAGCCGGACUGAGAGGUUGAACGGCCACAUUGGGACUGAGACACGGCCCAGACUCCUACGGGAGGCAGCAGUGGGGAAUAUUGCACAAUGGGGGAAACCCUGAUGCAGCGACGCCGCGUGGAGGAAGAAGGUCUUCGGAUUGUAAACUCCUGUUGUUGAGGAAGAUAAUGACGGUACUCAACAAGGAAGUGACGGCUAACUACGUGCCAGCAGCCGCGGUAAAACGUAGGUCACAAGCGUUGUCCGGAAUUACUGGGUGUAAAGGGAGCGCAGGCGGGAAGGCAAGUUGGAAGUGAAAUCCAUGGGCUCAACCCAUGAACUGCUUUCAAAACUGUUUUUCUUGAGUAGUGCAGAGGUAGGCGGAAUUCCCGGUGUAGCGGUGGAAUGCGUAGAUAUCGGGAGGAACACCAGUGGCGAAGGCGGCCUACUGGGCACCAACUGACGCUGAGGCUCGAAAGUGUGGGUAGCAAACAGGAUUAGAUACCCUGGUAGUCCACACUGUAAACGAUGAUUACUAGGUGUUGGAGGAUUGACCCCUUCAGUGCCGCAGUUAACACAAUAAGUAAUCCACCUGGGGAGUACGACCGCAAGGUUGAAACUCAAAGGAAUUGACGGGGGCCCGCACAAGCAGUGGAGUAUGUGGUUUAAUUCGACGCAACGCGAAGAACCUUACCAAGUCUUGACAUCCUGCGACGCACAUAGAAAUAUGUGUUUCCUUCGGGACGCAGAGACAGGUGGUGCAUGGUUGUCGUCAGCUCGUGUCGUGAGAUGUUGGGUUAAGUCCCGCAACGAGCGCAACCCUUAUGGUCAGUUACUACGCAAGAGGACUCUGGCCAGACUGCCGUUGACAAAACGGAGGAAGGUGGGGAUGACGUCAAAUCAUCAUGCCCUUUAUGACUUGGGCUACACACGUACUACAAUGGCGUUAAACAAAGAGAAGCAAGACCGCGAGGUGGAGCAAAACUCAGAAACAACGUCCCAGUUCGGACUGCAGGCUGCAACUCGCCUGCACGAAGUCGGAAUUGCUAGUAAUCGCAGAUCAGCAUGCUGCGGUGAAUACGUUCCCGGGCCUUGCACUCACCGCCCGUCA